GGGUUGUGAGGUUAAGCGACUAAGCGUACACGGUGGAUGCCCUGGCAGUCAGAGGCGAUGAAGGACGUGCUAAUCUGCGAUAAGCGUCGGUAAGGUGAUAUGAACCGUUAUAACCGGCGAUUUCCGAAUGGGGAAACCCAGUGUGAUUCGUCACACUAUCAUUAACUGAAUCCAUAGGUUAAUGAGGCGAACCGGGGGAACUGAAACAUCUAAGUACCCCGAGGAAAAGAAAUCAACCGAGAUUCCCCCAGUAGCGGCGAGCGAACGGGGAGCAGCCCAGAGCCUGAAUCAGUGUGUGUGUUAGUGGAAGCGUCUGGAAAGGCGUGCGAUACAGGGUGACAGCCCCGUACACAAAAAUGCACAUGCUGUGAGCUCGAUGAGUAGGGCGGGACACGUGGUAUCCUGUCUGAAUAUGGGGGGACCAUCCUCCAAGGCUAAAUACUCCUGACUGACCGAUAGUGAACCAGUACCGUGAGGGAAAGGCGAAAAGAACCCCGGCGAGGGGAGUGAAAAAGAACCUGAAACCGUGUACGUACAAGCAGUGGGAGCACGCUUAGGCGUGUGACUGCGUACCUUUUGUAUAAUGGGUCAGCGACUUAUAUUCUGUAGCAAGGUUAACCGAAUAGGGGAGCCGAAGGGAAACCGAGUCUUAACUGGGCGUUAAGUUGCAGGGUAUAGACCCGAAA
rnacentral:rRNA from 1 species